rnacentral:lncRNA from 1 species
UCGAUGAACGAUAUAAAUAGAUACGGGUACGCAGUUAUCCACCAAAAACACGCCAAAAAGCUUAAACGAGCCAAACCAACCGAAAACACACCUAGGCACCAAGUGCCCACCAGCCUGCAGGCUAACAUCCCUCUGAAAACAUGCCUGGGCACCAAGUGCCAAGCUCGUAGGCUUUACAUAUGCCCCGAUAACAUGCCAGAAUCACUGUAAAUAUAACACGAUAGUCUGCAAAAAAUGCUGAACUUCGGUAAAUUCAAUGGAUAACAACAAGUCAAGAAUCAUCAUCUCAUCACAAGUUAAUCUCGUACAGCGCGUAAUAUAACCUAUUGGCAUGCCAAUUGUACCUUAUCCUACGUUCAUCUGGGCUCAUAUCAUAUCAUCGUGUUAACAAUGUUCAAGGCAAUUACUUUCUCAACUCACAACAGUUUAUAAAAAUUCAAUCAUACCUAAAAUAUUCAACAACCAUAAUUCACAAUCAAUAUAACAUUUCAAAUUAUACUAAACUAAACCGUACAAACUUACCAGGGCUAAACUAUAGAGAUAGUAAAAAUUCAAGGACUAAUUAGCAACUUUCUAUUUUCUUCGAUUGUCUAUAUGUUCUUGAUCUAUAAAGUAGUUUAUUUCAAUUUAUUAGCCUCAAUUUCAUGUAAAAUUCAAUUUAAUACAUAUGUCUUCCUAUUUAUAAUUUUUCACAAUUGUCCCAACCUUUUACACCUUAAUCAAUUUGGUCCCUAUGACCAAAACUAGAUUAUUUUCACAAUUAAACUUUAUACCUAUUAAACUGAAUUUAUAACUACCCAAAACUAGUCCUCACAUAUUGAAAUUUCAUGAGAAAAACAUGUCAUAUUUACAUUAUUUUCAAUUAAAUCCCUAAACUUACAAAUUAUACAAAAUUAUUUUACAAAAUAAUCAUAUUUAAUAACCAAGCUUAAUAACCUACCAUUAUACUUCAAAAACAUAUCAUACUCAUCAAUGGCAUCUUCCAGAACAUUUAACAAUUUUACAAAUUAACCCAUGGGUUAGCUAGAUUAAGCUAAAACGGUCUCAAAAAUAUAAAAUUCAUGAAAAACAAGUGAAAAUGAGCGUACAUGCAAUAUAAAAUUUUAACUUUAUUAUAAUAUAAAAUUUUCAUAUAACACAUAAUGAAACAAGCCUAAAUCAGCCACUAGCUAAAGAAAUGGCUUUAUUGCCAUAUUAAACCAUCCUAUUUCACUUAAAUACACAAUUGAUACUAAAAAAAAUAGCAACUGAGUUUUGCACCUUUUUACAGUUUAGUCCUUUUUCCUUAAUUAAGUAAUCAAACAUUAAAAUUAAUAGACCAACAUUUAAUAUGGCACUAUAAUGACCUCAUAAAUAUUAAAUAAAUAAUAUUUACGGACUCACACGUCGAAAUUGUGGACCUAAAUCUAUUAUUUUCUGACACAACUAGAAAACGAGCUGUUAUAUACAGAAAACUCCACAAAUGCAAUAUACAGAGUACGCCACAAAGGCAAUAUAAUGCCACAAUGGCUAACAAAAUGUCACAAAGGCCUAAUCAAAAUACGCCAUAAAGACUAACAAAAUGCCCCCAAGCACCCCAUGAACUGUCGUGUUUGCAGUAUGGAUUUGCUUAAACUCAUAUCGCAUGAGGUUUGCCUAUCAUCGCCUUGGGACACGCAGAGAACCCCAUUCAAUCAAUGCAACUCAUCCGCCCUUUUCAGAAUGUACAAUGGCCAUGGGCUUUUCUUCAGAAUUUUCAUAUUAGAAUUCGUGUUUACUAUCCUGACAGACUCUAUCGAAUACCAUCGCGGUGUCCAAACUCACAUCACAACCUCUCUACACUCGAAUACACCCUAUUCCAAAAUAUUUUCAAUCUAACAUCACAUAUCCAAUAUAAACAUAUAUUAUGCUAGGUCAACUCAUUUUUCUUAACCAAAUCAUUCCUUAAUACAUGCUUCAUACGCAUCAACACAAUCACAUUACUCAGUAUACAUUAUAGGCACACACAUAGUUGCUUCACAGAAUCACAUACACCCAUACACACAAUUCAUCAUAUUCCAGACUCAUAAGGACUUAUACCAUGAAAUACAUUUUUAUUUUCUAGCAAUCAUUCAUGUACUCACAUGUUGUUUUUAGGAACAUAAAUCACA